rnacentral:rRNA from 1 species
UACGAACUGUGCGAACGUUAUUCGGAAUCACUGGGCUUACAGGGUGCGUAGGCGGCUUGUUAAGUAGGGUGUGAAAGCCCCCGGCUCAACCGGGGAAUUGCGCCCUAAACUGGCGAGCUGGAGUGAGAUAGGGGUGUGUGGAACUUCCGGUGGAGCGGUGAAAUGUGUUGAUAUCGGAAGGAACGCCGGUGGCGAAAGCGACACACUGGAUCUUGUCUGACGCUGAGGCACGGAAAGCCAGGGGAGCGAACGGG